GGAGGGAUCAUAUUAAGGAUAAUUAUGGCGAGAUUUUUUUUAUAAAAUUUUGCUAUAUAAUUUAGAUGUGCACUUGUAUUGAGUUAAAGUUUUGCUGUAACCAUAUGGCUAUAGCAAAACCUAAAAAAAAAAACCUAAACUGUUUGUAUCAAAAUCUAGUUUUACUAUAAUAUAAUUAUAAAAAACAACUUUUAACAACGGAUCUCUAGGCUCUUGCAUCGAUGAAGAACGCAGCGAAUUGCGAAAAGUAAUGUUGUUUGCAUAACGUCCAACAUCAAGUUUUUGAACGCAUCUUGCACUCUUGUCUUACAAGAGUAUGCCUGUUUGAGAGGAUAAACACCCCAUCCAAUCCUUGGAAGGUUAUUCCAAAGAUUGGGAAGUUGAGCAAUCUCACAUAGUUGUGUAGUUGCUUUAAUAUUAUUUGGUAGGUUUAUGUAUAAAAUGGUCAUUUUCCAUAUUACUUUAUAGUCCAGUAAUGGGUUCUAGUAAUAUAUAAUGGAAUUUGAUAUUUCAAACAUUUAAUAUAAAAUCAUUAUAACCAAAGGCAAGGAAGUUUGUAUAAUAUUCCUCAAAUCAGGUAGGACUACCCGCUGAAUUUAAGCAUAUCAAUAAGCGGAGGAAAAGAAACUAACAAGGAUUCCUUUAGUAACGGCGAGUGAAGUAGGAAUAGCUCAAUCUUUAAUCAUCUGUCAAAGGACAGCAUGAAUUGUAGUUUAUAGAUUUUAGUCUGGUAUUAAAUGUGGACUCUCAAACAUCUGGAAUGAUGUAUCAGAGAGGGUAACAAUCCCGUCUGGGUCUAAAUUUAAUAUCAUAAUGACGAAUUUCUUAGAGUCGAGUUGUUUGGGAAUGCAGCUCUAAAUGGGUGGUAAACUUCAUCCAAAGCUAAAUAUUGGCAAGAGACCGAUAGCGAACAAGUACCGUGAGGGAAAGAUGAAAAGAACUUUGAAGAAAGAGUUAAAAGUGCGUGAAAUUGUUAAAAGGGAAACGUUCAGUGUGUGGAUUAUGUCAAGGAGAGUUUUUAGAGUUGGAAAUCAGGUAUAGUCGUUUGGGUCAAACCGAUAGAUUAUUCUGAAUUGCAACGUAGCCAAAGACUCAGGAUAUUUGUUCUUGACUACUAACACAUAUUGACCGACCCGUCUUGAAACACGGACCAAGGAGUCUAACAUAUAUGCUAGUGUUUGGGUGACAAACCCAUUAACGCGAAAUGAAAGUGACCCAAGUGGGAUUUUAAUAAACCAAAAGCACCACUGGCCGAUCGUUGGUUUAUACCUAAUAGAUUUGAGCAAGAGCAUAUAUGCUAGGACCCGAAAGAUGGUGAACUAUGCCUGAGCAGGGCGAAGCCAGAGGAAACUCUGGUGGAGGCUCGUAGGGGUUCUGACGUGCAAAUCGAUCUUCAGACUUGGGUAUAGGGGCGAAAGACUAAUCGAACCAUCUAGUAGCUGGUUCCUGC
rnacentral:misc_RNA from 1 species